UAAAAUAAUGUGACAGGUGAAAUGAAGAACGUGAUCUGCUUCAUCUUCUAUGUAUUGCACAAGUUGACUGCAGGUAUUUACUUAAAUAUAACCAUUUAUUGAAAGACGUAAAAUAAAUACUUUCAAAGGUAUUGACGAUAUUGAAAAACCAUCAUGUGGCUAUUUCCAAAUACGGUAAAUGGUAUAGGCUAGGGUAUACCGUCCGAGCCUAUACCCUAUAGUUAUUUGAGUGUCUCGGAUUGACAUUUACUAUGUUUAAAAUCCACGAGACCAGGCUGCAUUGUCAUUCUCAACCUAGAAUUGCAUCACAAUUCAUGAUAUCCUCCUCUCUCAACCACUCUAAACUUGAACAUAUUUAUAAACACAUUCCCAGUGAAAUAAAUGGGAUACAACUUUUCGCAGAAGGACAGUAGGCUACCUUGCACAGAGCAGCUUAGUCCAGCCCUUUCUUUUCCCAGUUUGCCGCAUUAGAAUCGAGUUCCUAGCAAGACCCAACAUUAUCUUGGGCCGCUCUAUAGUGUAUCCGGCUCUCCCUGCACUCGCGUUUCAACAACAGCAGCAAACAGCCUCAAGCCUGUCUCUGAUUAUUGAAGCAACAGAAAUAGGGAUAAACGGAGAAAAAUGCGGUGAGGCAGAAAAAGAGAGACAACUGGAGUAUUUUAUCGGGCGGUACGUGGGGAUAUCAAGGCAUUUCUUCUGCAAGACCACACACACCCGUGGAUAAACCUAAGCAGCAUCCUUUCCAUUGAUCAGGCAACCUAUUAAUUCCACCAGAAACCCAGGGGGGACUGUCAGGUGUAUUACUCCCUGUCCACUCUGCGGCGGAUCCAAGAGAGAGCACCAGGGGAGGGG